GGGGGUGGCGGCAGCUACACAUGCAGUCGGGCGGUAACAGGGAGAAGCUUGCUUCUCUGCUGACGAGCGGCGGACGGGUGAGUAAUGUAUGGGGAUCUGCCUGAUGGCGGGGGAUAACUACUGGAAACGGUAGCUAAUACCGCAUAAUGUCUUCGGACCAAAGCGGGGGACCUCCGGGCCUCGCGCCAUCAGAUGAACCCAUAUGGGAUUAGCUAGUAGGUGAGGUAACGGCUUACCUAGGCGACGAUCCCUAGCUGGUCUGAGAGGAUGAUCAGCCACACUGGGACUGAGACACGGCCCAGACUCCUACGGGAGGCAGCAGUGGGGAAUAUUGCACAAUGGGCGCAAGCCUGAUGCAGCCAUGCCGCGUGUAUGAAGAAGGCCUUCGGGUUGUAAAGUACUUUCAGUCGGGAGGAAGGUGGCAAGGUUAAUAACCUUGGCAAUUGACGUUACCGACAGAAGAAGCACCGGCUAACUCCGUGCAGCCAGCCGCUGA
rnacentral:rRNA from 1 species